rnacentral:ribozyme from 13 species
AUAAAAUGUGAAAGUGAUACAAAUUCAAGUAAAUAGUUAACAAUAAUUAUUGUAUUCACAAAAUUCACUUUUUUUAUGUUUUGCUGUUCCUUUUUUCAUUUU